AUAUAGCAUUGAAGGGAUCUUAGUAGUGCCUAGAAUUUUUGUCUCAGAGAGCUGGUGGUCGGUGCGAAUCAGUACAUAUCUAGGGCAUGAAUUACACUCCNAUUUGGUCUUUGGGAAAGACGGCAACAUAGCCGUUAUCAGAAUGAAGUGGUGAGCUCAUGCUCGCAACUAGGGUGGUACCGCGAUGUCUAUUCGUCCCUACU
rnacentral:ncRNA from 1 species